UCCCUGGUAGUAUAUUGGUUAGUACAUGCGCCUGUCAUGACAUGGGGUUCUACUGGGACGCGUGAAAGCUGGGUUCAACUCCCAGCCAAGAAG